rnacentral:rRNA from 1 species
CUUGAGACCGGCGCACGGGUGCGUAACGCGUAUGCAACCUACCUUUAUCUGGGGGAUAGCCCGGAGAAAUCCGGAUUAAUACCGCAUAAAAUCACAGUAUUGCAUAAUACAAUGAUCAAACAUUUAUGGGAUGAAGAUGGGCAUGCGUGUCAUUAGCUAGUUGGCGGGGUAACGGCCCACCAAGGCGACGAUGACUAGGGGAUCUGAGAGGAUGACCCCCCACACUGGUACUGAGACACGGACCAGACUCCUACGGGAGGCAGCAGUAAGGAAUAUUGGUCAAUGGAGGCAACUCUGAACCAGCCAUGCCGCGUGCAGGAAGACUGCCCUAUGGGUUGUAAACUGCUUUUAUCCGGGAAUAAACCUAUUUACGUGUAAAUAGCUGAAUGUACCGGAAGAAUAAGGAUCGGCUAACUCCGUGCCAGCAGCCGCGGUAAUACGGAGGAUCCAAGCGUUAUCCGGAUUUAUUGGGUUUAAAGGGUGCGUAG